AGAGUUUGAUCCUGGCUCAGGAUGAACGCUAGCUACAGGCUUAACACAUGCAAGUCGUGGGGCAUCAUGAUGUAGUAAUACAUUGAUGGCGACCGGCGCACGGGUGAGUAACGCGUAUCCAACCUACCCUCCACUCAAGUAUAGGCUUCCGAAAGGGAGAUUAAUCCUUGAUAUCGUCAUUCUCUCUCCUGUUAGAAUGAUAAAAGGACAUCGUUUCGGUAGAGGAUGGGGAUGCGUUCCAUUAGGUAGUAGGUGGUUUAACAGGCCACCUAGCCGAUGAUGGAUAGGGGUUCUGAGAGGAAUGUCCCCCACACUGGUACUGAGAUACGGACCAGACUCCUACGGGAGGCAGCAGUGAGGAAUAUUGGUCAAUGGGCGCAAGCCUGAACCAGCCAUGUAGCGUGAAGGAUGACGGUUUUUUUGAUUGUAAACUUCUUUUCUGUGCGAUUAAAGUGUGGCAUUUAUGCCAUAUUGCAGUUAUCUCAGGAAUAAGCAUCGGCUAACUCCGUGCCAGCAGCCGCGGUAAUACGGAGGAUGCGAGCGUUAUCCGGAUUUAUUGGGUUUAAAGGGAGCGUAGAUGGUUUUUUAAGUCAGCUGUCAAAUGUAUGGGCUCAACCCUUAUUAUCAGUUGAAACUGUAAGACUUGAGUGCGGUGUGGGUACAUGGAAUUCGUGGUGUAGCGGUGAAAUGCAUAGAUAUCACGAAGAACUCCGAAAGCGUAGGCAUUGUACCAUAGCGCCACUGACAUUGAUGCUCGAAGGUGCGGGAAUCAAACAGGAUUAGAUACCCUGGUAGUCCGCACAGUAAACGAUGAAUGCUCGACGUUGUCGAUAUACUGUCAGCGUCCAAGCGAAAGCGUUAAGCAUUCCACCUGGGGAGUACGCCGGCAACGGUGAAACUCAAAGGAAUUGACGGGGGCCCGCACAAGCGGAGGAACAUGUGGUUUAAUUCGAUGAUACGCGAGGAACCUUACCCGGGCUUGAAUUGCAGACGCAGGAUACAGAGAUGUUGACUCCCUUCGGGGCGUCUGUGAAGGUGCUGCAUGGUUGUCGUCAGCUCGUGCCGUGAGGUGUCGGCUUAAGUGCCAUAACGAGCGCAACCCCUUUCCUUAGUUGCCAUCAGGUCAUGCUGGGCACUCUGGGGACACUGCCACCGCAAGGUGUGAGGAAGGUGGGGAUGACGUCAAAUCAGCACGGCCCUUACGUCCGGGGCUACACACGUGUUACAAUGGCCGGUACAGAGGGACGGUGUAAUGCAAAUUGCAUCCAAUCUUGAAAGCCGGUCCCAGUUCGGACUGGGGUCUGCAACCCGACCCCACGAAGCUGGAUUCGCUAGUAAUCGCGCAUCAGCCAUGGCGCGGUGAAUACGUUCCCGGGCCUUGUACACACCGCCCGUCAAGCCAUGAAAGCCGGGGGUGCCUGAAGUCCGUGACCGGAAGGAUCGGCCUAGGGCAAAACUGGUGAUUGGGGCUAAGUCGUAACAAGGUAGCCGUACCGGAAGGUGCGGCUG
rnacentral:rRNA from 1 species